rnacentral:lncRNA from 1 species
UCCCCGUUGAUGCCACCACCUCCUCUCUAACGUUGAAUAUUUGAUAGUCUCACAUCUAUCUUCUUCACUAGAGAGUCGCCCCAAAGUACCAGCACCUUCAUCAGAUGAUAUUUUUGAAGUGAUUCAUGCCAUUAUUGCACCCCUCGCAACCACUAUGUGUGAAUUAUUUGCUUGUUGGGACAAUUUGAUGAAUAAAAUGGAAGAUCCCAUUAAAUUCUAUAUCAAGUAAAGAAAAAGUGAUAGCACAUCUAAAAACAAAAAUUUCAUCUGAUGGAGCUCCUGAUUCUUUGGGGCGAGUCUCUGGUGAAAAAGAGAAAGGUUAGACUACAAAUGUUCUGGGACAAAGGGAAGACACAGAGAUAUCUGGAAAUGAGUUAUUAGUUACUUAAUGAGAUAUACUAGUAAGAAAAGGAUUCUUGCUAGCAUUUUUUGCUAAUAGUAAUAAAUGUUGGUUGAUCCAACAUAUUCAAUAGCUGAAUGAUAUUUAUAGAAUUGUGAGAG